rnacentral:lncRNA from 1 species
AUCCACUUUGGGUAGCAUUUUGUAUCCUCAUUGGUGGUCUGUUUCUGGAUGUGCUAAUAUCCAUUACGCUUGGAAUCUCUACACUGCAUGUGAACAUCAUAAUCGGUACAUGCUUUUUAUCUUUUCAACUUCUCAUUAAUCGUAUGUUGUAGCAUUUAGCAAAUAGUAUUUACAUUAAAACAAAAAAAUAAAAGAGCUUAGUCCAUAUUUAUCAGCACAAAAACCUGCAAAAUUUUGUAGUUUUCUUUCUUCGCUUUCUGCCAAAAGGAUACACAAAAAUGAAACAAGAUAAACCUAAACAUAAUGAGAAUUUCCAGAAACUUUAAAUUAUUUCUGUGAUGUGGUCCUUGUAGUUGUGGCUAUACUCGCUGUUUGAGUUUGGAAUCAUUAUAUAUAUUUCGUAUUUUACAUGAAAGGUCACUCGAAGUCAUUGAGAAAACACAACCAAUUCGUUCUGUUUUUUUAGUGUUGGGAUUUGCGUUCUUGCUCUUUGAUUCGAACUUUCCUGUUGUUUGAUGUUCAUAUCAUCUAUUGGUAUUUUGUUAGCAAGUAGCCUCAUUAUACAGAAAGGUACUUUAAAAGGCAUUUUUCUAUGCCAGAUCUUUUCCCCAGAGGGUCUUGUCUUUCAUUUUUUUCUAUUCUCCAUUAGGAGGGAGAAUCACAUAUAACAGAUGUAGGGGAAUAAAAUGAAUAACUAAUUUAAUCAAAACAACUCUCUCCCCAAAUGUUACUAAUUUAAUCACAUAUAACAGAUGUGGGGAUUCAUCCUCUUUCUUCUUGGUCAAAUUUUUUGAAUUAUUUUUACACUUUUUCCCCUAAUUCAAGUUAUAUCUUAAUAAUUGCAGGAUAAAGUUUAACUUUAUUAAAAAAUUAUUGAAGUUUAUAACCAACACAAUGUUAUAUGCAUCAAAGGCAGAUUUGGGAAUUUGAUAACCAACGAUGUUUUUAACUUUAUUAAAUGGUUAAUAAUGAAAUUGAAUAUUUGUUAUUAAUAUUUAGAAAGAAGGUGACAAUGUAACAAAAAAGAUUUCUUUUUUACUUUUGUUAGAAGAAUUGCUUUAUGGUAAGAGAAGUCAAAAAAUAAAAUAUUAUGUUACAUUACAGAAAAGUAAUUCUGCCUUUCAUGCCAAAAUUGCUUUACUGUUUGUGACUUUCUGAGUUUCACCCUUCAAAGCAGUGGUCAAUAUCAAAUUAAUAUGCUUUUGGUUUAUUUGGUUAGUUUUGUUGAUUUACUUCUAUCGUAUAGGAUAUCUAUGGAUAAUGGUGAUAAAAGUUGGAUGAAUCUCUUGAGAUGGACGGAUGAGUAUAUCCGUAGAGUGAAUGAUUUUCUGGAUAAGGCAUUUGAACGAGCCUCCCAAGGAAAUGAAAUAUUAUGCCCCUGCAAAAAGUGCAUGAAUCGCUAUUGGCAUUAUAGAAAUGUGGUGGAGUAUCAUUUGGUUGUUCAUAGAUUUAUUGAAGGUUAUACCAAAUGGGUUUUCCACGACGAAGGAUUUUCCUCGAGAAAUACACCUCAUCUAAGCAAUGAUGAUGAAGGUUUCUACCAUGCGUGAAGAUAUUGAUGGACUACUUCAUGAUAUAUUUAGAAAUAUAGAGGGUCAGACAAGGAAUGAAUAAGGAGUUAAGAAGUUGGGAAAAGACUAUCUGAAGAUGCAAAGAAGUUUUUCAAAUUACUGGAGGAAGAAAAACAAGAAUUAUAUUCGGGGUGUGAAAAUUUUAGUACACACCCCCAGUGAGCGCAGGUACCUACUGAGUGUGAGUGCCGAGUGCGAGUGCUGAGCGAUUGGAAGGACUGAGUGACCGGGAGGACUGAGUGAAAUGAUACUCUGGGAGUAUGCAUAUAAUUUUAUCACUAAGUUGCAUCGCAUUGACAUGCACACAUGGCAUACAUGUAUAGAGAUGUAUUUUCCUCAUGUUGUACAGUAUCACAUCAUUCAUGAUUUCUCACAUGUUGACAGAUGGGCAUAGUGAUGCAUUUAUUUUUACACUGGGUUAUUUGGGAAGAAAAUAAAAUAUCUCAUUUAUUAUUAAAAGGAUUUUGGGGAAAAUUAUUGCUUUCAAACUUAUUUAUAUUUUUGGCAACUUCGGUAAACGAUUUUGGGUUUCACUGAUGUACUUAAAAGGAAGAACUAUUUCUUUGAAAAUUAUGAUUUAGCUGAGCAUUUUCCUUUGAAUUUCUUCUUGUAUUAUUUGCUUUAUGUUGUGAUGGACUUGGGACUAUUGGUUUUGGACCCGACCUUGGUAAAAGCUCGUCACUGCUUUCUACCUAAGGUUAGGUUUGUUACUUACUUAGUAGAUGGGGUCGGUUGUACUGAUACUACACUUCUGCACAUUGCAUGCAGAUAUUGGUUGUUGUUGUUGCUGCACUCGAUGGUUGCCAUAUUUGAAGAUGUACCUGCGUUCCUAUUGUAGCUGCCUCUUGUUCAUGGUAGCCUUAGAUUCAUAAAACUCUGUUUAUGUACUUUUCAAACAAAUGAUGUAAUUAUUUCAUACCAGUUUUNNN